UGCUUCACUGACACCCAUAGGGGUACCUGGCA
rnacentral:piRNA from 1 species